GGGGUGACGUCAUCUCCGGGAAGGUGGCCGGCCCAGGGUUGUUAGAGCCAGCCUAACCACUUGGGCCGGUUUGAGGCCGCUCUCGCCCCGUCAGAGGUCAGACCCAUUUCACUUCAGUAUCUCAGGCGGCACCCUGUCCCCGAGGAGGGGACCAUGACACAGGUUGUGAGUCCCGGCCCAGCCCCUCCACCCCCCUGCCCCCCCGAUGCGACCAUGGGCUCUGGUGACUAGGUGGCCACCCUCCGCCCCCGUGGGCCAGCGGCGAUUCUCUGCGGGACCUGGCAGCACCCCGGGCCAGCUCUGGGGAAGGUAGGAAGGAGCCUCCCAGUCCUGGUGCUGGGGCAUGGGGGCCAGCAGGGGUGGGGCGCAGGGCCCUGAGCUGCCUUCCCUCCCCGUGGGGGGAGUCACCCUGGCUUCUCUCCCUGCUCUGUGCACGAGUGGCCCCCCUCAGUCCUAUCAGGGCCUCCUCUCUGUGGUGCAGCCCUGGCCUCGAGGGCCCCCUGGCCAGCCCGCCUGCCCGGGAUGAGCGCUUACCCUCCCAGCAGCCGCCGUCCCGACCUCCACACCUCCCCGUAGAGGAGCGCCGAGCCUCGGCUCCUGCCGGCGGGAGCCCCCGAAUGCUGCACCCAGCCACCCAGCAGAGCCCGUUCAUGGUUGAUCUCCACGAGCAGGUAGGCAGAACCCCAUCCCCUGUGCCCCUGGCCCUGUGAGCCAGUCUGAAAGGCAGAGGCAGCAAGGCCUAGAUUUUACCUAGCUUGCUUCAUUUCACGUUCCACGGAGGCAUUAUUGGCCC
rnacentral:sRNA from 1 species